GAUGAACGCUGGCGGCGUGCCUAAUACAUGCAAGUCGAGCGAACGGACGAGAAGCUUGCUUCUCUGAUGUUAGCGGCGGACGGGUGAGUAACACGUGGAUAACCUACCUAUAAGACUGGGAUAACUUCGGGAAACCGGAGCUAAUACCGGAUAAUAUUUUGAACCGCAUGGUUCAAAAGUAAAAGACGGUCUUGCUGUCACUUAUAGAUGGAUCCGCGCUGCAUUAGCUAGUUGGUAAGGUAACGGCUUACCAAGGCAACGAUGCAUAGCCGACCUGAGAGGGUGAUCGGCCACACUGGAACUGAGACACGGUCCAGACUCCUACGGGAGGCAGCAGUAGGGAAUCUUCCGCAAUGGGCGAAAGCCUGACGGAGCAACGCCGCGUGAGUGAUGAAGGUCUUCGGAUCGUAAAACUCUGUUAUUAGUGAAGAACAUAUGUGUAAGUAACUGUGCACAUCUUGACGGUACCUAAUCAGAAAGCCACGGCUAACUACGUG
rnacentral:rRNA from 1 species